CGUACGGUGGUCUAGCGGUUAGAACGCUGGCCUUGUAAUCCUGGGGUCUCGGGUUCGAUUCCCGGCGGUGCCC
rnacentral:tRNA from 1 species